UUCUGCUCCUGAGCACCUCACUUGUGUUUUAUUAGUUUCUUUUGUCUCCCAUAGGAUAUAAAUCUUAAACCAGUUAUGUAAUUUAUUGGCUUGGAAACUCAAUUAAUACUUCAAUAUGAAGCCUUUACAGUAUACACUACUAAUGCUUUCGCAUGGGCUUGAAUUUCUUGGGGAUAAUUGCUAUAUUUUUUAUUGUUGACCUACUCGAUUUUCGUAUAAACCCGCACUUCUUUUGUCUCCCUCCUGUUGUUUAUUGUUGUUGCACCACCUAUCCACUAAAAGUCUUUUUUAAGAUAAACAACCUUCUAUCCAAUAUCAAUAUGCUUGGGUGCUCCUUGUCUAUAAACCGUUUUAUCAAUAGAUGUGAAAAACUUAUUGGGAUCAUGUUUUAGAAGAGAUGGUUUGGUUGUCAAAGGUAAUUAACAAGUUCCUCAAAGAUUUUAUCUUAUAUGAUGUAGGAAACCUUUUGGCUAUACUCAUUUACUUCAUAUGAUAAAGCUCUGCUUGUUUCACUGCUUCCUUGCUCAUUCAAUUGGUUGUUAGCAAGACUUUGAGUUAGAGUGAAAAUGGAAAUUGGCUCAAGCAAUGAGGGUUGCUUUAAGAGCAAGCAGGGGCACCAUAGACCAGGCUACUAGGGGAGAAAAGAAAAUGAAGGAAGAGGAGCAGCGGUUAAGAAAAGUUGCACCUAAUAUCUCAAAGGACGUGAAGAAAUUCUGGAUGAAAAUAGAAAAACAGUCCACUUUGUUCAAAUAGUUAUCUAAUUUCUUCAAAUAACUCAAGGCACUUGAUAAGCAACUUGAGUUUCUUUUGGGCCAAACCGAGAGGUACUCAACAAUGUUAACAGAAAGUCUCGUUGAUACUCAUAAAUCAAUGCAACAAUGUAGUACUACACAAGAUCAACUGAGUAUUAAAUACAAAGAUGCUAAUGUGGGACUAUGUGAGUGAGAUUAACAUGCAGCCUUCUUGUGAAUAUUUAGAGAGAACUAUCGGGCAAUUUCUUGUCCUAUAUUGUGUGAUAUUAGUUGUGGAGUUGUUUACCUUUUAGACUUUACAAUUUUUUUGUGCAUCUAAGUUGUGAGUCUUUUUUGUGCAUCUGUGUUGUGGGUGUGUUUUGUGCAUGAGUUGUGG